rnacentral:lncRNA from 1 species
CAAAAGUAUUCUGUUAACCUCAAAUCGCUUUCUUCCUAAACAAGUUAUCUUUCGUUUGUGUUUUAUUUUGUGUGUGUGUUACCUUAAACGACUUCGCUUUCCGCCACAGCUUUCUUGAUGUCGUCCCUAUUCACUGACCUCCUCAGAGAUCCUAUUGUCGCCUUAGGUCCUUUCCAGCAGAUCUCCACUGUCAAUCUCUCCUUCUCCAGUGAGCCUACCCAACCUUCCAGUUUCCUCACAGAUUGCUUCACGUCGUAUUUCCUCGUUACUAGCAGCGGCCAUAGCACAAAAAUGAAUUUUCCUGAUAUAAACAUGGAAGGAGAUUCGAAUAGAGAAAGACAAAUUUCUAAAGACGACACUUUGAUCCGUGAAGAAGAAAAUAUACCUAUGCGGAGUUUUGAGGAGAUAAUCUUACGAGGAAG